UCAAGACCAGCCUCUCUCCACAUCUGUGCACACCUGCCACAGUGCACAUCUCAGAAGCAUGCUUUUUGUCAUGGGCUUCACUCUGCUUUAAGUGUCCCAUGACCCACCAACAUCACUACUAGUAGAGACAGAACUCCAUGGAGCACUCCAGAGGAGCACAAGGAGAUAUUCACACUGAUCAUGGUCUUGAGAAGGAUGGUGACGAUGAUAACUUUAAGUGAAAGUACCAACAAUAAGAGGCAUCCUGGAGGAAUUUACAAGCCCCUGCUCUGUCUUCCAGGGAUACCAAGAGUACUUAAUAAAUAACUAAGGCUGAAUCCCUUGACAUCCCUCGACAUGCAGGUCUGAGAGGAAAAAGGUAGAGAAAGCGUGCUGAGAGAAGACCCAGAUUAUGGCCCCAGCUCUGCCACUGACCAAGGUAAAAAUCACUGAGAUUUCCUGAGCUUCCGUCUUUCUUCAAGAAAACAUGAGAGCUGCAGCACUUCCCAGAGUUACUCAGAGUACUGAAUGGUCUAAAGGACACAAAGCCUUUGGGAAUAACACUUAUUAUUUCUUAGAACCUACGAAAUGAACACCUCCACUAUUCUGUAGUAUAUCUUACUG